GUGAAAUCCGGUGAUAUGCAGGGGAACACCAAAAGCGAAGGCAGACCACUAGGUGCCUCUUGACACUGCUAGGACGAAAGCGUGGGGAGAGAACGGGAUUAGAUACCCCGGUAUUCCACGCCCUAAACGAUGAGUGCUAGUUUUUGGGGAAAGUUAAUCUUCCUCGGAGACAAAGCUAACGCAUUAAGCACUCCGCCUGUAGAGUACGAGCGCAAGCUUAAAACAUAAAGGAAUUGACGGGAACCCGCGCAAGCGGUGGAUCAUGUGGCUUAAUUCGAUAAUAAGCGAGGAACCUCACCUAGGUUUGACAUGCAACUGCACGACUAAUGAAAGUUAGUUUCUUUCGAAGGUGUUGCACAGAUGAUGCACGGUCGUCGUCAGCUCGUGUCGUGAGAUGUUCGGUUAAGUCCGGUAACGAGCGCAACCCCAAUCCUUAGUUAUUUAAUGUCUGAGGAGACUGCCCGAGCUUAAUCGGGAGGAAGGCUGGGAUGACGUCAGAUCAGCGUGUCUCUUACAUCUAGGGCGGCACACAUGAUACAAUGGGUAAGGUACAACGGGACAGCAAAAGGGUGACCUGAAGCAAAUCCUAAAAAACCUCCCUCAGUACGGAUCGAAGUCUGCAACUCGACUUCGUGAAGCUGGAAUCGCUAGUAAUCGCGGAUCAGACUCGCCGCGGUGAAUACGUUCUCGGGUUUUGUACACACUGCCCGUCACGCCCUGGGAACUGGGAGAGCCCCAAAACUCUAUCUUGUAUGGAGUCGAAGGCUAGUCCAACGACUGGGUUGAAGUCG
rnacentral:rRNA from 1 species